GCGCUGGUAGUGUAGUCGGUUAUCACUGAGGCUUGCCAAGCCUCAAACCCGGGUUCGAAUCCCGGCUAGCGCA
rnacentral:tRNA from 1 species